rnacentral:rRNA from 1 species
CUACGGGAUGCUCCAGUCGAGAAUCUUCCACAAUGCGGGAAACCGUGAUGGAGCGACAUCGCGUGGAUGAAGAAGCCCUUCGGGGUGUAAAAUUCUUUUCUGGAGGAACAAUUCCGCUUUCGCGGAAUGAGCUAACUCUAGGAAUAAGGGGCGGCAAACUUCGUGCCAGAAGCCUCGGUGAUACGAAGGCCCCAAGCGUUAUCCGGAUUUACUGGGCGUACAGCGUGGGUAGGCGGUUUUGAUAGUGGCUGGUUAAAUUCCAAAGCUCAACUUUGGAGCUGCCGGCCAAACGUCAAAACUAGAGCAAGCGAGAGGAUAGUGGAACUUGUCAAGUAGGGGUUAAAUCCAUUGAUAUGACAGGGAACACCAAAGGCGAAGGCAGCUAUCUGGCGCUUUGCUGACGCUGAGCCACGAAAGCGUGGGGAGAGAAAAGGAUUAGAUACCCCGGUAGUC